GACGAACGCUGGCGGCGUGCUUAACACAUGCAAGUCGAACGGUGACGGAGAGCUUGCUCUCCUGAUCAGUGGCGAACGGGUGAGUAACACGUGGGCAACCUGCCCCAGACUUCGGGAUAACGCUUCGAAAGAGGUGCUAAUACCGGAUACGAACUCCUUGGGCAUCCUUGGAGUUGGAAAGUUUUUCGGUCUGGGAUGGGCCCGCGGCCUAUCAGCUUGUUGGUGAGGUAACGGCUCACCAAGGCGACGACGGGUAGCCGGCCUGAGAGGGCGACCGGCCACACUGGGACUGAGACACGGCCCAGACUCCUACGGGAGGCAGCAGUGGGGAAUAUUGCGCAGUGGGCGAAAGCCUGACGCAGCAACGCCGCGUGAGGGAUGACGGCCUUCGGGUUGUAAACCUCUUUCAGCAGGGAAGAAGCGAAAGUGACGGUACCUGCAGAAGAAGCACCGGCUAACUACGUGCCAGCAGCCGCGGUAA
rnacentral:rRNA from 1 species